UCCACAGUAGCUCAGUGGUAGAGCUAUCGGCUGUUAACCGAUCGGUCGUAGGUUCGAUUCCUACCUGUGGAGCCA
rnacentral:tRNA from 2 species